GACCCAAUGGUGAAUUGUAUCGCGCCCGCACUACAUACAUGUGAUGUGUUGAUAAAAGUGGGAGGUUCUGGUUCGAUUCCAGGUUGGGUCA